ACGUAGGUGGCAAGCGUUGUCCGGAAUUACUGGGUGUAAAGGGAGCGCAGGCGGGGCGACAAGUCAGCUGUGAAAACUAACGGCUUAACCCUUAGAAUGCAGGUGAAACUGUUUAUCUUGAGUGGAGUUGAGGUAGACAGAAUUCCUAGUGUAGCGGUGAAAUGCGUAGAGAUUAGGAGGAACACCGAAGGCGAAGGCAGCCUACUGGGCCCUAAUUGACGCUAAGCCGCGAAAGUGUGGGUAUCAAACAG
rnacentral:rRNA from 1 species